rnacentral:misc_RNA from 1 species
GCAAACUUGGUCAUUUAGAGGAAGUAAAAGUCGUAACAAGGUUUCCGUAGGUGAACCUGCGGAAGGAUCAUUACCGAGUUAGGGUCUCUCCAGGCCCGACCUCCCAACCCCAUGUUUACUGAACCUUCGUUGCUUCGGCGGACCCGCCUCUGGGCCGCCGGAGGACCGCCCCACGGCGUCCUCUGGCCCGCGUCCGUCGACGGCCAACCUCAAAAACGCUGAAAUAACCGUGUUGUGUGUCUCAGUCCCACGAUUAAAUUAAAGCAAAACUUUCAACAACGGAUCUCUUGGUUCUGGCAUCGAUGAAGAACGCAGC